CGUCGUUUGUGCAUUACCAGUCCGCGGAGUUUUUGCGUUCGCCAUGAUGGCCGUCGCCAUAAACCCGACACGCCAUCGCGAUAAACGUGCCGUUGAAUCUCGGAACCUUUGCUCAGCCCAGCCCAGCCCAGCCCUGUCGCGCCCUGCCGCAAAACGGGCAUUCGUCAGACGCGACGCGAAACCGCGUGUCCGUUUACUCCGUGCGCGAACGCCGCAC